UGCCCUAGUAACGGCGAGUGAAGCGGCAACAGCUCAAAUUUGAAAUCUGGCUUCCUUGGAAGUCCGAGUUGUAAUUUGCAGAGGGCGCUUUGGCGUCGGUAGCGGUCUAAGUUCCUUGGAACAGGACGUCACAGAGGGUGAGAAUCCCGUACGUGGUCGACUGCCUUCGCCGUGUAAAGCCCCUUCGACGAGUCGAGUUGUUUGGGAAUGCAGCUCUAAAUGGGAGGUAAAUUUCUUCUAAAGCUAAAUACUGGCCAGAGACCGAUAGCGCACAAGUAGAGUGAUCGAAAGAUGAAAAGCACUUUGGAAAGAGAGUCAAACAGCACGUGAAAUUGUUGAAAGGGAAGCGCUUGCCGCCAGACGUGCCCGUGGUGGUUCUCCUCCGCGGGCAGGCCAGCAUCAGUUUGGGCGAUCGGAUAAAGGCCUCUGUCAUGUAUCUCCCUUCGGGGUGACCUUAUAGGGGAGGCGUAAUGCGAUCAGCCUGGACUGAGGUCCGCGCAUCUGCUAGGAUGCUGGCGUAAUGGCUGUAAGCGGCCCGUCUUGAAACACGGACCAAGGAGUCUAACAUCUAUGCGAGUGUUUGGGUGUCAAGCCCGAGCGCGUAAUGAAAGUGAACGGAGGUGGGAACCCUUUGGGUGCACCAUCGACCGAUCCUGAAGUCUUCGGAUGGAUUUGAGUAAGAGCAUGGCUGUUGGGACCCGAAAGAUGGUGAACUAUGCUUGAAUAGGGUGAAGCCAGAGGAAACUCUGGUGGAGGCUCGCAGCGGUUCUGACGUGCAAAUCGAUCGUCAAAUUUGGGCAUAGGGGCGAAAGACUAAUCGAACUAUCUAGUAGCUGGUUCUG
rnacentral:rRNA from 1 species